rnacentral:rRNA from 1 species
UUAAGUCCCGCAACGAGCGCAACCCUCGUCCUAUGUUGCCAGCGGGUCAUGCCGGGGACUCAUGGGAGACGUGCCGGGGUCAAACUCGGAGGAAGGUGGGAUGACGUCAAAUCAUCAUGCCCCUUAUGUCUUGGGCUUCACGCAUGCUACAAUGGCCGGUACAAAGGGCUGCGAUACCGCGAGGUGGAGCGAAUCCCAGAAAGCCGGUCUCAGUUCGGAUUGGGGUCUGCAACUCGACCCCAUGAAGUCGGAGUCGCUAGUAAUCGCAGAUCAGCAACGCUGCGGUGAAUACGUUCCCGGGCCUU